UACGUAGGGUGCAAGCGUUAAUCGGAAUUACUGGGCGUAAAGCGUGCGCAGGCGGUUUUGUAAGUCAGAUGUGAAAUCCCCGGGCUUAACCUGGGAACUGCGUUUGAAACUACAAGGCUAGAGUGUGGCAGAGGGGGGUAGAAUUCCACGUGUAGCAGUGAAAUGCGUAGAGAUGUGGAGGAAUACCGAUGGCGAAGGCAGCCCCCUGGGUCAAUACUGACGCUCAUGCACGAAAGCGUGGGGAGCAAACAGG
rnacentral:rRNA from 1 species